UAGAGUUUGAUCAUGGCUCAGGAUGAACGCUAGCGGCAGGCCUAACACAUGCAAGUCGAGGGGUAGUAAGUGCUUGCACUUAUGAGACCGGCGCACGGGUGCGUAACGCGUAUGCAAUCUACCUUGUACAGGGGGAUAGCCCAGAGAAAUUUGGAUUAAUACCUCAUAGUAUCUUUUGAAGGCAUCUUCAAAUUAUUAAAGUUCCAACGGUACAAGAUGAGCAUGCGUCCCAUUAGUUAGUUGGUGUGGUAACGGCACACCAAGACGAUGAUGGGUAGGGGUCCUGAGAGGGAGAUCCCCCACACUGGUACUGAGACACGGACCAGACUCCUACGGGAGGCAGCAGUGAGGAAUAUUGGGCAAUGGAGGCAACUCUGACCCAGCCAUGCCGCGUGCAGGAAGACGGCCCUAUGGGUUGUAAACUGCUUUUGUACGGGAAGAAACACUCCUACGUGUAGGGGCUUGACGGUACCGUAAGAAUAAGGAUCGGCUAACUCCGUGCCAGCAGCCGCGGUAAUACGGAGGAUCCAAGCGUUAUCCGGAAUCAUUGGGUUUAAAGGGUCCGUAGGCGGCCUUAUAAGUCAGUGGUGAAAUCUCCUAGCUCAACUAGGAAACUGCCAUUGAUACUGUAGGGCUUGAAUUUUUGUGAAGUAACUAGAAUAUGUAGUGUAGCGGUGAAAUGCUUAGAUAUUACAUGGAAUACCAAUUGCGAAAGCAGGUUACUAACAAACGAUUGACGCUGAUGGACGAAAGCGUGGGGAGCGAACAGGAUUAGAUACCCUGAUAGUCCACGCCGUAAACGAUGGAUACUAGCUGUUCGGAUUUCGGUCUGAGUGGCUAAGCGAAAGUGAUAAGUAUCCCACCUGGGGGAGUACGCACGCAAGUGUGAAACUCAAAGGAAAUUGACGGGGCCCGCACAAGCGGUGGAGCAUGGUGGUUUAAUUCGAUGAAUACGCCGAGGAACCUACCCAGGGCUUAAUGGGGAGACGACAGUUUAGAACUAGACCUUUCUUCCGACGUCUUCAAGGUGCUUGACAUGAUUGUCGUCAGCCUCAGGCCGUGAAGGUUCAAGUUAGUCUAAUAGCGAGCCAUCCGUUUCGGUAGUGCAAGCGAGUCUAUGUCGGACCUCUUAAC
rnacentral:rRNA from 1 species